UCUGGUGAUAAAAAUACACCAAUAUUCAAAUUCAAAUCUUUCUAGUUGAAGUUUCGAAGUUCAGAAAAUUAGCUUAGGCCAGCAUUUCUAAGAAACUUUACUUCCAAGUACUCAUCUUGGUUGGCUAUGGCCUGAUCCGAAAAUGCUAGGCCAAAGCCAAGGCUAAGCUUAGCACAAAAAAAAAGGUUUGAACAGAAAAUUCCGAUCACAUGAGGCUUACAAUUACAAUAACAAAACCUUUAGUCCUGAGCAAGUUAGGGUAGGCUAGAUUAAACCUAACAAAAAUAUGGUAAUAAAUAAAAAUAGCAUUAUUGUAGUAGUAAAUAGUAAUAGUAGUAAAAUAAACUAGAUUUCUAUGCCAUGGUUGUGGCAUGUGAAUUGCUAAUUUCCACGCAAUUCUAUCUAAAGACAAUUCUUAGGAUAUAUUUCAUUCCUUGAAGUCUUUUUGUAUUGCUUUUUUCCAUGUCAACUUUGGGCAAACCCUGACUCUCCUUGUACUAUUGACACACCAUAGAAUUAUGCUAUGCACUGGUGACUUUGGAGACCUCCACUGGACAUGACCAAGCCAUCACAAGCACAUUAGGCUUUAAACCUCGAAAACAAUAUGCACAUUAAGUUAUGUCCGAACCCGCAUCAUAAAACAUAUAUAUAAUUUCGUCAGUGAUGGUGGUGGAUCAAGCUGGGGCUAGUACAUAUUCUGCAAGACUAGCCCUGAUUCCUGACAGUUUAAUAAGCUUUAAAAAUCAUGUUUGGAUCUGAUAAUAGUUUAGUGCAUCCAAGCUUGAAAGAACAUCAGGCUUGGCUGUUAUGGUAGGUAAUGUGUACCAGAGGCGCAAGAGAAGGGAGCAAGGAAAGGAAUCUGAACCGGAAGAAAGAUAAUGAAAGGAAACAAUACAUAAGGAAAAGAGUAGUCCGAUUCUAUUUGUACUAAUUAAUAUAUAUUCUUCUAUAAUUAUCUUUUCCUUGUUUAGAGUUAUAAGAUUAUUUGCUUAAAAUAGAGAAGGUACGUUUGGCACCUUAGGCUAUAUAAAUAGAGGGGUGAUUUGGAGAUGUAAGCAAGAAAUCGAUAAAGUCUUCCCUCUACCUCUGAGUUGUUCUUCUCUUUUCUCUCUUCUACAAUCAAUAGAACGGCACCCAGGAAAUUCAAGCAUGGGUCCAGACCCCUCCAUAGUUAUUACCUACGAUCAAAGGGUAAUAAAAAAUUGGUACCAGAGGCUAUGUCCACAUCUGAGGAGUCAGCUGAGUCCAACAUGGCGCAAGUGCUGAAGGCACUACAAGAUCUGACCGUGCGCAUUGAUAGGAUGAACCAGCAGUUGGGUGACGUCGCCAGACGACUCACAGUGGCGGAAAAGAGACUUGCUCUGGAAUCAGCCGGCAUCUUGCCACCUUCACCAGGAAUUUUGCAGACUCAAACCAGCUUCACAGCUGUAAUGAGUUAGCCAAACGACUCUUGGGUCUCCGCCACAGUUCCUCGGUAUCAUUAGUUAGAGUUUUCUGUGUAUGACGCCAAGGAGGAUCCUUUGGGUUGGGUUAAUAAGUGUGAGCAAUUUUUUUGGGGCCAAAAGACGGAAGAAUCUGACAAGGUAUGGUUAGCUUCUUAUCACUUCACAGGCAUUGCACAAUAUUGGUAUUUUCAGUUGGAACGUGACUUAGGGCAACCAGAUUGGGGCCGUUUUAAAAAACUUUGUACUAUGCAUUUUGGCCCACCCAUCCAAAGCAAUCCUUUAGGUGCUCUGGCUCAUCUUCCGUUCCAAGGUGCGGUUCAAGAUUACAUCAAUCAAUUCAUGAAACUUUUAUGCAGAACUGAAGCCCUACAUCCUACACAUCAGAUUUAGCUAUUCACUGUAGGAUUGCCUGAUCAGAUUAGAAUUGAUGUGGAAUUACAAAAUCCUUUAGAUCUUCAGAUGGCUAUAAGUCUGACUAGGGCGUAUGAGCGUCACAAUCAAUCUACUCCUGCUCCAACACCACUUAAUCGCUCAACUAAUCGGCCUCCGGUAGCACCAUGCUUGUCUACUUCGGCACCCGGCGUAGUUUGACCUGACAACGUUAUAGGUCCUGCAACACCGUCACAGGUGCUAACAGUGUAGCCUGGUCUCCCUCUCCGUCAUCUCAAUCCAACUGAGAUGGCUGAGCGCCGUAAAAAGGGUCUCUGCUUUAAUUGUGAUGAGUAGUACGUCCGAGGACAUCGCUGCGCGAAGUUAUUUUACAUUGAGGUAGAUGAUGAUCUAGACUUUUGUGAAGCUACUCAGGCUGCCGAACCUGAUCCUAAUGCUUCAGAAUCAAAUCCAACCGUGUCCCUGCAUACAUUGACUAGAUUAUGGACCACUCGAACGUCGAAUACCAUGCAGAUUAUGGUAAAGAUUGGUAGAAAGGAUUUUCUUGCCCUCUUGGACACUAGUUCUACUCAUAAUUUCAUUAAUGCUGACUUGAUUACGGAGAUGGGACUAUGGGAGUAGUGCUUGUGGACUGACCAAGUGUGAGGGUUGAGGUUGCUAAUGGGGACAAAAUUGCGAGUGUGGGUCUUGUUCGCAAUUUACAAUUUGAAGUCGUUGACACAUCAUUCUGUAUGGAUACCUUGGCUAUUACUUUGGGCAAUUUUGAUAUUGUGUUAGGAGUCCAAUGGUUAAAAUCCUUAGGACCUAUUAUGUGGGAUCUAAAUAAUCUUCAUAUGUCUUUUUGGUUGAAAAGGAGGGAAAUCUCAUGGACUGGGGUGGCUGCUUCCCCAUCUAAAGUUUAUGCCGUGGCAUGUACUAAUGAGGAGCUUAUGUCAGGUCUUCUUGCUGAGUUUGAAGGAUGCUUUGCUGAAACAUGUACCCUCACUUGCAGAAAGAUGAGCUCGAGAAGCAGUGUGAAAUUAUGCUGAAGGAAGGUAUAAUUCGGGACAGUACAUCAGCAUUCUCAUAUCUGAUUAUUCUUGUGAAGAAAUCUGACAAUUCAUGGAGAUUUUGUGUGUAUUAUAGGGCACUUAAUGUUGCACAAUUCCUGAUAAGUUUCCUACACCAGUAGUGGAAGAAUUAUUGGAUGAACUGAAAGGUGCUUAUUUCUUCAGUAAAUUGGACCUUCGAUCUGGGUAUCAUGAGAUCCGAAUGUACCCUCCAGACGUGGAAAAGAUAGCAUUUAGAACUCAUCAAGAGCAUUUUGAGUUCUUGGUCAUGCCUUUUGGCCUUACUAAUGCCCCAUCUACUUUUUAGGCCUUGGUGAAUGGAGUCCUUCAUCCAUAUGUUCAGUGAUUUGUGCUUGUCUUUUUCGAUGAUAUAUUGUUCUAUA